rnacentral:lncRNA from 1 species
ACAGUAAUUACCUCCCUGCAUCCCAAACUAAGAGGACAAAUUAAGUCAGAACUUGAAAAUAAUUUAAAAGAGUUUUCCCUUGUUUCAAAUAGGAAAAGGAAACGCCAAGACAUAGAAAACCACGCUUUUCCCGUAGGAAGAACCGAUGAUGAGCCCUGAUGAAAGAAGGAAGAAGACCCGCUGUCUGCGAAGGCCUAAAGGCCGCGGUUGCCAGGAACCGUGGAGGGCCAACUCCUCCCAACCGCCCUGGUGCAAAGUCCCACGCGGCGAAGAGUUUUGGAGCAGCGCUUACCUAGAAAGAUGUUUAAAUUCUGAACCAGGAAUUGUCUCCAACUCCAGGCGCUCAGGGAAUCGCCUUUUCCGGUGUCCAGGCGCUCUGCAGACAAAUAAACAGCAGAAGGUGAAUGGCGGCUGCGAGGGAAGGGAGUUGGAGGCCGGGAGUGGGAAGCGAGGCUCAUGCGGGCGCCAAGGUG